rnacentral:rRNA from 1 species
AGAGUUUGAUCAUGGCUCAGGAUAAACGCUGGCGGUGUGCUUUAUGCAUGCAAGUCGAACGAACUAUUUUCGGAUAGCUAGUGGCGAAUGGGUGAGUAACACGUAAGUAACCUACCCUUAAGUGGGGAAUAGCUCUGAGAAAUCGGAAUUAAUACCGCAUGUGAUGAUGGGGGUAAUGCCCUAUCAUUAAAGGCUUCGGCCGCUUGAGGAGGGGCUUGCGUCCGAUUAGCUAGUUGGUGAGGUAACGGCCCACCAAGGCUCCGAUCGGUAGCUGGUUUGAGAGGAUGAUCAGCCACACUGGAACUGAGACACGGUCCAGACUCCUACGGGAGGCAGCAGCAAGGAAUAUUGGGCAAUGGGCGAAAGCCUGACCCAGCGACACCGCGUGGAGGAAGAAGGCCUUCGGGUUGUAAACUCCUUUUCCUGGGGAAGAAUAAUGACGGUACCCAAGGAAUAAGUCUCGGCUAACUACGUGCCAGCAGCCGCGGUAAUACGUAGGAGGCGAGCGUUAUCCGGAUUUACUGGGCGUAAAGAGGGCGUAGGCGGCAUAUCAAGUCGAAUGUGAAAUCUCCCGGCUCAACCGGGAGGGUGCAUUCGAUACUGAUGGGCUAGAGUACAGCAGAGGAAAGCGGAAUUCCCGGUGUAGUGGUGAAAUGCGUAGAUAUCGGGAGGAACACUAGUGGCGAAGGCGGCUUUCUGGGCUGUUACUGACGCUGAGGCCCGAAGGCGUGGGGAGCGAACAGGAUUAGAUACCCUAGUAGUCC